rnacentral:rRNA from 1 species
UACGGAGGGUGCAAGCGUUAUCCGGAUUCACUGGGUUUAAAGGGUGCGUAGGCGGGCAGGUAAGUCAGUGGUGAAAUCUCCGGGCUUAACCCGGAAACUGCCGUUGAUACUAUCUGUCUUGAAUAUCGUGGAGGUAAGCGGAAUAUGUCAUGUAGCGGUGAAAUGCUUAGAUAUGACAUAGAACACCGAUUGCGAAGGCAGCUUACUACACGAUCAUUGACGCUGAGGUACGAAAGCGUGGGGAGCAAACAGG